rnacentral:rRNA from 1 species
AGGCAGCAGUGGGGAAUUUUCCGCAAUGGACGAAAGUCUGACGGAGCGACGCUGCGUGAAGGAUGAAGGCCCGUGGGUUGUAAACUUCUUUUCUCGAAGAAGAAAAAAAUGACGGUAUUCGAGGAAUAAGCAUCGGCUAACUCUGUGCCAGCAGCCGCGGUAAGACAGAGGAUGCAAGUGUUAUUCGGAAUGAUUGGGCGUAAAGAGUCUGUAGGCGGUUUAGAAAGUCUUUUGUGAAAUACUUCAGCUCAACUGAGGCUCCGCAAAAGAAACUUCUAGACUUGAGGAAAGUAGAGGUACAGGGAAUUUCCGGUGGAGCGGUGAAAUGCGUAGAUAUCGGAAGGAACACCAAUAUGGCGAAGGCACUGUACUGGGCUUUUCCUGACGCUCAGAGACGAAAGCUGAAGGAGUGAUUAGGAUUAGAUACCCUAGUAAUUUCAGCCGUAAACGAUGAAAACUCACUGUCGAGCCAAUAUAUGGAGCGGUGGUCAAGCUAACGCGUGAAGUUUUCCGCCUGGGGAUUACGCUUGCAAAAGUGAAACUCAAAGGAAUUGACGGGGACCCGCACAAGCGGUGGAGUAUGUGGUUUAAUUCGAUGCAACGCGAAAAACCUUACCAGGGUUUGAAAUAAUUUCAAAACUUCUUGAAAGAGAAGCCUCCUUCGGGAUGGAAUUACAGGUGGUGCAUGGCUGUCGUCAGCUCGUGUUGUGAAAUGUCAAGUUAAGUCUUGUAACGAGCGCAACCCAUGUCUCUUGUUGCUGUUUACAGUGCUUAAGAGAAACUGCCGAUCAACAUCGGAGGAAGGUGUGGAUGAUGUCAAGUCAGCAUGCCCCUUACAUCCUGGGCUACACACGUACUACAAUGGUCGAGACAAAGGGUCGCUAACCUGCGAAGGUAUGCCAAUCUCAUAAACUCGAUCUCAGUUCGGAUUGUACUCUGCAACUCGAGUACAUGAAGGUGGAAUCGCUAGUAAUCGCUGGUCAGCAUACAGCGGUGAAUACGUUCCCGGGUCUUGUACACACUGCCCGUCACACCAUGGAAGUCGACCCUUCCCUAAGUCGUUACUCGAACCUGUAAAGGACGAGGACGCCGAAGGCAGAGUUGGUGACUAGGGUGAAGUCGUAACAAGGUAGCCGUACUGGAAGGUGUGGCUG